AAAUUUACCCAAAAGGGGAGAUACUGUGAUCAUGGAGGUAUUUUUUCCAGGAUGAGGCUCAUCCAUUACACUCCAAAUAUGCUGUCCCUUAUCAUUUCCCGAAAUUUGGGGAACUGUGUAAUUAGUGACAGUAGGGGACUGUGUUCCCACUUUCCCCUU